ensembl:lincRNA
UUUUUGUGUCCUCCACAGCAAAGACUGCUCUUCUAAUGUAAGGAAUCUAGAUGAUUAUGGAAGGAAAAGAAGUGCUGUCAUUUCAAUGAAAACUACUCCAGACUUUAAGGACAGGAUAUACAAACUCUGUAAUCUGGUUCCAAGAUGGAAGGGGAGGAAGAGGAUGAGGAGAAGCGAAUCCUUCAUUUCACCCUCAUCUCGAGAUUCAGUGAUAGCAAAAAUAUCAUCAAAAAUUCCAGGAACAUAAACAACUACCAAGUAUUGGUUUAUGUGAGGCUUUACACUUUAAAAGAAGCUAUGGCUCAGGAGCAAGAAGUGGCCAUGGGUGACAAAGAAGUUUAAAGGUAGUUUGAAGAAAACAUUACC